GAAAAUAAAGACGCUCGGAAGGAGGAAGUGUAGGAUAUCUAGAAAAUAAAGACUCUCGGAAGGAGGAAGUGUAGGAUAUCUAGAAAAUAAAGACGCUCGGAAGGAGAAAGUGUAGGAUAUCUAGAAAAUAAAGACGCUCAGAAGGAGGAAGUGUAGGAUAUCUAGAAAAUAAAGACGCUCGGAAGGAGAAAGUGUAGGAUAUCUAGAAAAUAAAGACGCUCAGAUUUGAAAAUCAGAGGUUUUCCUAACAGCCUAAUCGAGGUGUUUUACAAGGCUACAUGUAAAUCCUUCUGCUGACCUUAACUAGUUGCUUAUCAACAGGGACGGCAGCGUAGCCUAGUGGUUAGUUUAGCGCGUUGGACUAGUAACCGAAAGGUUGCAAGAUCGAAUCCCCGAGCUGACAAGGUACAAAUCUGUCGUUCUGCCCCCUGAACAAGGCAGUUAACCCACUGUUCCCCGGUAGACCGUCAUUGUAAAUAAUAAGAAUUUGUUCUUAACUGACUUGCCUGGUUAAAGGUUAAACAAACAUUUAAAACAGAGAAUGACUAUCCAAACUAAGCGAGACCAGGAUUUAUCUUAACGCCGCUCCGUGCAGCCAUCGGAUAAACCCCAGGAGCCCCUCUGGACGGCUCUUAUUAACGCCGCUCCUCCGCUGUCAAAACGUCAGCUGAAAACCCCCAUCUGAUUGGAUCUACAGUAACUAGACCUUCCCUGAGCGAGACGCCGAACACAUUGACUUACCAACAUCCUGGUUACUAACGGGAGGCUGGGGGAUUCAAUCCAAUUACAGGUGGUUACUAACGGGGAGGCUGGGGGAUUCAAUCCAAUUACAGGUGGUUACUAACGGGGAGGCUGGGGGAUUCAAUCCAAUUACAGGUGGUUACUAACGGGGAGGCUGGGGGAUUCAAUCCAAUUACAGGUGGUUACUAACGGGGGAGGCUGGGGAUUCAAUCCAC
rnacentral:lncRNA from 1 species